AUUGGACGCUGGCGGCAGGCCUAACACAUGCAAGUCGAGCGGAUGAAGGGAGCUUGCUCCUGGAUUCAGCGGCGGACGGGUGAGUAAUGCCUAGGAAUCUGCCUGGUAGUGGGGGAUAACGUCCGGAAACGGGCGCUAAUACCGCAUACGUCCUGAGGGAGAAAGUGGGGGAUCUUCGGACCUCACGCUAUCAGAUGAGCCUAGGUCGGAUUAGCUAGUUGGUGGGGUAAAGGCCUACCAAGGCGACGAUCCGUAACUGGUCUGAGAGGAUGAUCAGUCACACUGGAACUGAGACACGGUCCAGACUCCUACGGGAGGCAGCAGUGGGGAAUAUUGGACAAUGGGCGAAAGCCUGAUCCAGCCAUGCCGCGUGUGUGAAGAAGGUCUUCGGAUUGUAAAGCACUUUAAGUUGGGAGGAAGGGCAGUAAGUUAAUACCUUGCUGUUUUGACGUUACCAACAGAAUAAGCACCAGCUAACUUCGUG
rnacentral:rRNA from 1 species